UACGAAGGGGGCGAGCGUUGUUCGGAUUUACUGGGCGUAAAGGGCGCGUAGGCGGCUUGUCAGUCAGGCGUGAAAGCCCCGGGCUCAACCUGGGAAUGGCAAUGGAUACUGGCAGGCUAGAGUGCGGUAGAGGGUAGUGGAAUUCCCGGUGUAGCGGUGAAAUGCGUAGAGAUCGGGAGGAACACCAGUGGCGAAGGCGGCUACCUGGACCAGCACUGACACUGAGGCACGAAAGCGUGGGGGAGCAAACAGG
rnacentral:rRNA from 1 species